AUUGAACGCUGGCGGCAGGCCUAACACAUGCAAGUCGAGCGGAGCGGCGGACGGGUGAGUAAUGCCUAGGAAUCUGCCUGGUAGUGGGGGAUAAAGUCCGGAAACGGGCGCUAAUACCGCAUACUACCAAGUGAGCCAAGGUUGGAUUAGCUAGUUGGCGGGGUAAAGGCCCACCAAGGCGACGACCCGUAACUGGCCUGAGAGGAGGAUCAGUCACACUGGAACUGAGACACGGUCCAGAUUCCUACGGGAGGCAGCAGUGGGGAAUAUUGGACAAUGGGCGAAAGCCUGAUCCAGCCAUGCCGCGUGUGUGAAGAAGGUCUUCGGAUUGUAAAGCACUUUAAGUUGGGAGGCGUUACCAACAGAAUAAGCACCGGCUAACUUCGUGCCAGCAGCCGCGGUAAUAC
rnacentral:rRNA from 1 species